rnacentral:lncRNA from 1 species
AUAUCAAUGUGUCUAUCAACAAGGGCAUGUUUACGCUUCACAACUCUUUUAACUUGUCAUUUCAACUCUUUCACCCUGAUGAGGGAACACUCAUCAUGAAUUUUGGUACUAGGCUUCCUAACAAAAAGAAAAGUGAGGGGCAAAAGAAAGGAGAGUUGGUGGGAAUUGAAUUCCUUUCUUUAAUCAAUGUAAUGACUUUGGACCUUUGGUGGCAAGCUUUGGCUACUUUCUUCAAAAUCUUAGGAGUAUAAAAGGCCAACACUCGUGCUAAUUGCAAGCAUGGCACUAAUCAGAAUAGGCUGUUCUUGUUUAGUUUUUGUUCCUUUCUUCAUCAGUGUUUAUUUUACCAUUAUUUGAGAACAUCUUGAAACUUCUAAGGUUCAAUUUUCACUUAAACAGCACAACUCCUGCAUUUUCAAGCACUGUUUUGUUGGUGGAAAGAAGCUACUAUUGAUAUUUAGUUUGGGUUGGACGAUACACUCCAUGUUACAUAAACAUUUCUUAGCAAAAAGAAUUUAUAAUUGCACUUUUCAUGUAGAAUUCGAUUUUCAUUUUUUUUUGGUUUCUUUUGCCAUUGCAAUCUUUUGAAUACAUAGUGAUCAAUGCAUUGAUCUUCAAGGGAUUCCCUUUAUUUUAUUGAAACAAACAAGCCUGAAGAAAGAUUCAAAGAAACAUAUCUUUGAAUUGCUCAUGUUUCUGCUUGCAAAAAUUGUUCCACACCUUAUCAUCAUAAAGCUUGAAGGAAAGCUAUCAAAAGUCGGGGUUAACAAGAAGUUGCAGACGGAGUCAGCCAUCAUCCAAUGGUGCAGCAUUGAUUCAAUGACCUGAUACAAACAUUUUGCUACCUGUUUUCUAUAUGCCUAGCAAAGACGGAGGAGCUACAUGCCUGCAUCAGCAAUGCAGCAUUCUGUAAUUCUCACGAGCCAGCACUUGCAGAUUGAGGGUAUGGAUCCUAAUAGCUUUAUACUUAUUUGUAUCAUCUUAAUAUCUUACAACUGACGAACAUAGUGGAUAUCAAAAGUUUUGGACUUGAUCUGCUGUACCAAUAAAGUUUUAACUAGGACUAUGGCUACAUCUCCUACUCUUGUAGAUUGGAAAGACGAUUAAUCACCAACUGCAGAAUCAACGACUUUGUCCUAGAUAUUGAAAAUGAUGGCAAAUAAUUUGAUAGAGUAUUAUUUGAAAUAUUAUUUGGAAUAAUUACUGCAGCACUAUUUGUGAUGUGAUGUAUGUGAGAUAAAAAGUUGAUUGGAAAUAUAAAAAGGUGGGUUGGGAAAUGUGUUUAUGAUGCAAGCGAAAUAUUAUUUGGAAUAAUAUGUGUAUCCAAACACUCCCAUUAUAUUCUCUUUUCGGUGUUUUUUCUUCAUAAAGGGACGGCUAGACCAAUAAUAUAUGGCGUAUGACCACUGAUUUCAGCCAAGUCUUGAGUCACAACUCAACUUACUCAGUUCAGAAAUAAAUAAAUGAUCUUUUUGUCUUUAUACAACAAGAAGAAGGUUGGUAAAAUCCAUGAAAAUUCUUUAACAUGAAUGGAAAACUCAUACAUGAACUUUUCUUCUUGAUAGAAAGCUUGCAGAAAUUUAUUGGUGACUGAUUACUGCUACGUGCUAUCUUGUUUGGUUGCUUGCUUCAUUUUUGGUAGUGCUAGCAAAUUAUCUUUCCUCAUCAUUCCAUUUAUUAGUGAAAAGUCUGUUUUACUGUGCAGAAAUAAAACAAUGAUGCCAUUUGACUAUAACAUGAUGGAAGAUUGCUUUCCAUUUGCUCUUCUCAUUCGCAAGCCUAAAAUUCAAGGUCCUCCUGUACUCUGGAUAUAGUUUCAGGCUGAGUUGCAGCUUUAGAAAGGCUUACAGG